AAAUGGAGACAUUUUCACAUGGAAUACUAAGCUUCCCCAAAUUGAAAUCCCAUGGAGAUAGAUGAAUGUUGUUUUCAAAUCUGGCCAGGGCAAGACAUAAAUGCUAUUAUCCAUAAGAGGAAAAGAAGGAAAUUAAUUGAGAUCAACAGUGAAGAUUAAUUCAACCUAUUAAAGAUAUUUCAUCACACAGUACAGAUAAGCAUGGAAGCUCCCUUGGAGAAGAUACAAUGGGAAGUAACAACAUCAAAUACAAAAGUAGAAGAACUUCAAGAACAGCUCAAGUCCUUGCAGGGGGAUGUUUCAUCAUUUAUGUUGUUACUUGAAGGCUUGACAAAGAACGAUUGCAGUGAUCUUUCAAAGAUUAUAAUCUUUCAUUGCAUCUCCCUUAGAGCUAGCUUCCCUUCCAUUGAUGACUUAGAUGAUGUGGAAAUGAAGAAAAUGGAAUAAGCAAGACAAGCUUAUGUAGCUGUUGUUGCUGCUGCAGAGGCAUAGCAAGAUGAAGAAUCUAUUGCUGCUGCUACAUCUCCAAGAUUACAUCUUAAAUCUUUCGUUUUCAAAACAUAAGUUUCAAACAUUCAUUUGAAGCAUCAUUUGCCUUAAAUCUUGUAGUCUUAUAGUUUGUAAUUGGAUAUAUUAUACAAAUAUUUUAUUUAUUUAGUAAAAUAAAGUAUUUUAUUUUAUUUGA